rnacentral:misc_RNA from 1 species
AACGCACCUUGCGCUCCUUGGCAUUCCGAGGAGCAUGCCUGUUUGAGUGUCAUGUUAAUCUCAAUCCCUUGGGUUUGUUAUGAACUCUUGAGAUUGGACUUGGAGGUUACUGCUGGCUUUACCGUCGGCUCCUCUUGAAUGUAUUAGCUGGGCCUUUAGCCUCGCGCUCGUGGUGUGAUAGUUUAUUCACCUUGAGUGUGGCUUGUAUGGGUCUGCUUCUAAUCGUCUUAAAACGACUAUUCCUUGGCUCUCUGUCCUGAAAGUGGUUAGGACUGCCCGCUGAACUUAA